GACGAACGCUGGCGGCGUGCCUAAUACAUGCAAGUCGAGCGGACCAAAGGGAGCUUGCUCCUGGAGGUUAGCGGCGAACGGGUGAGUAACACGUGGGCAACCUGCCUGUAAGACUGGGAUAACAUCGAGAAAUCGGUGCUAAUACCGGAUAAUAAAAAGAACUGCAUGGUUCUUUUUUGAAAGAUGGUUUCGGCUAUCACUUACAGAUGGGCCCGCGGCGCAUUAGCUAGUUGGUGAGGUAACGGCUCACCAAGGCGACGAUGAGUAGCCGACCUGAGAGGGUGAUCGGCCACACUGGGACUGAGACACGGCCCAGACUCCUACGGGAGGCAGCAGUAGGGAAUCUUCCGCAAUGGACGAAAGUCUGACGGAGCAACGCCGCGUGAGUGAUGAAGGUUUUCGGAUCGUAAAACUCUGUUGUUAGGAAGAACAAGUGCCGUUCGAAAGGGCGGCACCUUGACGGUACCUAACGAGAAAGCCACGGCUAACUACGUGCCAGCAGCCGCGGUAA
rnacentral:rRNA from 1 species